rnacentral:rRNA from 1 species
GACGAACGCUGGCGGCGUGCUUAACACAUGCAAGUCGAACGGAAAGGCCCUGCUUUUGUGGGGUGCUCGAGUGGCGAACGGGUGAGUAACACGUGAGUAACCUGCCCUUGACUUUGGGAUAACUUCAGGAAACUGGGGCUAAUACCGGAUAGGAGCUCCUGCUGCAUGGUGGGGGUUGGAAAGUUUCGGCGGUUGGGGAUGGACUCGCGGCUUAUCAGCUUGUUGGUGGGGUAGUGGCUUACCAAGGCUUUGACGGGUAGCCGGCCUGAGAGGGUGACCGGCCACAUUGGGACUGAGAUACGGCCCAGACUCCUACGGGAGGCAGAAGUGGGGAAUAUUGCACAAUGGGCGGAAGCCUGAUGCAGCAACGCCGCGGGCGGGAUGACGGCCUUCGGGUUGUAAACCGCUUUCGCCUGUGACGAAGCGUGAGUGACGGUAAGGGGUAAAGAAGCACCGGCUAACUACGUG